rnacentral:rRNA from 1 species
AUUGAACGCUGGCGGCAGGCCUAACACAUGCAAGUCGAGCGGAUGACGGGAGCUUGCUCCUUGAUUCAGCGGCGGACGGGUGAGUAAUGCCUAGGAAUCUGCCUGGUAGUGGGGGACAACGUUUCGAAAGGAACGCUAAUACCGCAUACGUCCUACGGGAGAAAGCAGGGGACCUUCGGGCCUUGCGCUAUCAGAUGAGCCUAGGUCGGAGUAGCUAGUAGGUGAGGUCAUGGCUCACCUAGGCGACGAUCCGUAACUGGUCGGAGAGGAUGAUCGGUCACAGUGGAACUGAGACGCGGUCCAGACGCCGAGGGGAGGCAGCAGUGAGGAAUAUUGGACAAUGGGCGAAAGCGUGAACCAGCCAAGCCGCGUGUGUGAAGAAGGUCUUCGGAUUGUAAAGCACUUUAAGUUGGGAGGAAGGGCAGUAAGCUAAUACCUUGCUGUUUUGACGUUACCGACAGAAUAAGCACCGGCUAACUCUGUGCCAGCCGCCGCCGUAACAC